rnacentral:rRNA from 1 species
AUGCUACCUGGUUGAUCCU